GACGGUUUGGCCGAGUGGUCUAAGGCGCCAGAUUUAGGCUCUGGUUCGAAAGGCGUGGGUUCAAAUCCCACAAUGUUUA
rnacentral:tRNA from 1 species